AUGUAGAGAAUCUAUCUUUAGUUGUGGGUAAAUUACUCUAAAACAAUCACAGAUGGUUUUCUCUUUAGGUAAGACAUCUUGA
rnacentral:pre_miRNA from 1 species